CCUGACUGACCGAUAGUGAACCAGUACCGUGAGGGAAAGGCGAAAAGAACCCCGGCGAGGGGAGUGAAAAAGAACCUGAAACCGUGUACGUACAAGCAGUGGGAGCCUCUUUAUGGGGUGACUGCGUACCUUUUGUAUAAUGGGUCAGCGACUUAUAUUCUGUAGCAAGGUUAACCGAAUAGGGGAGCCGAAGGGAAACCGAGUCUUAACUGGGCGUUAAGUU
rnacentral:rRNA from 1 species